rnacentral:lncRNA from 1 species
UAUGUCCUUCUUCAUUUGCCUCCACCAGUAAUGCUGCCUCAAAUCUUGAUGUAUCUUCAUGGCACCCGGAUGGAUGGAAUACCGCGAACUAUGAGCCUCUGCUUAUAUCAACUCUUGAAUAUAAUCAAUGUUGGGUACACAUACCUAACCCUGCAUCCUCAAUACCUCGUCCUCACUGAUAGUCACAUCUCUGGCAUCGCCAUGAUCAACCCUGUCCUUGAGGACAAGUAAAUGGGGGUCAUCAUACUAUCGUUCCCUGAUACGAUCAAACAAUGAAGACCGAGAAACCACACAAGCUAGAACCCGACUGGGCUCCAAAGAUCCAAUCUCACCAAAUGACUGGCUAAGGCCUGAACAUCCAUCUCCAUGGGUGUCUCUAAAGCUAGUAAAUAUGCUAAACUCCCCAAAAUCUCCGCCCGGCGACUCAAGGCAUCGACUACAAAUUGGCCUUGCCCGGGUAAUAAAGAAUAUUAAUAUCAUAAUCCUUCAGUAACUCCAACCAUCUCCUCUGGUGCAAGUUCAUAUCUUUUUUCUUGAAUAAGUGUUGUAAACUUCGAUGAUCCGUGUAAAUCUCAC